UACGAAGGGGGCUAGCGCUGCUCGGAAUCACUGGGCGUAAAGGGCGCGUAGGCGGCGUUUUAAGUCGGGGGUGAAAGCCUGUGGCUCAACCACAGAAUGGCCCUUCGAUACUGGGACGCUUGAGUAUGGUAGAGGUUGGUGGAACUGCGAGUGUAGAGGUGAAAUUCGUAGAUAUUCGCAAGAACACCGGUGGCGAAGGCGGCCAACUGGACCAUUACUGACGCUGAGGCGCGAAAGCGUGGGGAGCAAACAGG
rnacentral:rRNA from 1 species